AGAGAUGUGGCCCCCCGUUCGUGGUCGGUAUACAGGUGGUGCAUGGCUGUCGUCAGCUCGCGUCGUGAGAUGUUGGGUUAAGUCCCGUAACGAGCGCAACCCUUGUCCUUAGUUACCAGCACGUUAUGGUGGGCACUCUAAGGAGACUGCCGGUGACAAACCGGAGGAAGGUGGGGAUGACGUCAAGUCAUCAUGGCCCUUACGGCCUGGGCUACACACGUGCUACAAUGGUCGGUACAAAGGGUUGCCAAGCCGCGAGGUGGAGCUAAUCCCAUAAAACCGAUCGUAGUCCGGAUCGCAGUCUGCAACUCGACUGCGUGAAGUCGGAAUCGCUAGUAAUCGUGAAUCAGAAUGUCACGGUGAAUACGUUCCCGGGCCUU
rnacentral:rRNA from 1 species